rnacentral:rRNA from 1 species
UACGUAGGGUGCAAGCGUUAAUCGGAAUUACUGGGCGUAAAGCGUGCGCAGGCGGUCUUGCAAGACAGAUGUGAAAUCCCCGGGCUCAACCUGGGAACUGCAUUUGUGACUGCAAGGCUGGAGUACGGCAGAGGGGGAUGGAAUUCCGCGUGUAGCAGUGAAAUGCGUAGAUAUGCGGAGGAACACCGAUGGCGAAGGCAAUCCCCUGGGCCUGUACUGACGCUCAUGCACGAAAGCGGGGGGAGCAAACAGG